rnacentral:snoRNA from 1 species
AAGUCAUUUCAAAGAGGCCUUUUGGACUGUGAAGGCAAUUCUAUGACUUAAGAUUGAAAUUCUCCAAGGACACCCUAGUCACUCAAAACUGCUAUCCUUUCCUGGGGAGAUAUAAAC